rnacentral:rRNA from 1 species
AGAGGUCCCAAGCGUUGUUCGGAUUCACUGGGCGUAAAGGGUGCGUAGGUGAUUGGGAAAGUCUGAUGUGAAAUCCCCGGGCCCAACCCGGGAAAUGCAUCGGAAACUGCCUGGCUUGAGGGUUGGAGGGGGGACUGGAUUCCCGGUGUAGCAGUGAAAUGCGUAGAUAUCGGGAGGAACGCCAGUGGCGAAGGCGAGUCCCUGGACAACACCUGACACUGAGGCACGAAAGCUAGGGGAGCAAACAGGAUUAGAUACCCUGGUAGUCCUAGCCGUAAACGGUGCAUGUUUGCUGUGGGCGGAAUCGACCCCGUCCGUGGCGGAGCUAACGCGUUAAACAUGCCGCCUGGGGAGUACGGUCGCAAGAUUA